GAGAAUUUUACCCUCUUGUCAGUCUUGGCCAUGUGAUUUCAUCUGGCAAAUGACAUGGGAGUGGAAGUGACAUGCCCAGAAGAUUUGAGAGCUGUGGUGAGAUCCCAUCAUUUCCCUUCUGACACAAGGCACACCACAUCCCCAGAUGGAGGUAUUCUGUCAAUCUGGAUCCCAAAGUGAAAAGGAUGAAGGACAAAGUCACAACUGAUGGAGAGCCAUCAUGGAAGAUGAGGAAAAUAUUAGCUUUACUCUUACAAAGCACUGAGAUUUGAGGGUCACUUGUUCUUGCAGCAUAGCCCAGCAAAGAAUGACCGAUACACUUUUCUUCACAAAACCUCUGUCUAAUUGAACUCAAACUCUGAACCAUACGCUGAAUGAAAGAAUGGUCCGUUCCUAUUUCGAUAGGUCAACCCUCAUUUUUAUAAGUGCACAGCUUCAGGAAGGCACACAUGCAGUCAUGAAGGGAGAAAGUGGAGUUCUCAACUAUUGAAGCCAGUGAGCUAACUUCUGCAUUCACCGACAUGAAACAUGCUGAAGUCUGUUUGCCUUGCAGUUCUCUGCUGGAUGUGCCAAGAGGGCUCUAUUUUAGAGAAGGAAAACUAACAAUAGAUUCCCGCCAACUAAAAGGGGAUUUCUUUUCCUGGGAAGGAAAAAAUAAAUGGAA
rnacentral:lncRNA from 10 species